rnacentral:tRNA from 1 species
GCUCGCAUAGCUCAGUUGGUAGAGCGACGCAUUCGUAAUGCGUAGGUCAGCGGUUCAAAUCCGCUUGCGAGCUCCA